rnacentral:lncRNA from 1 species
AAAGGAAGAGCAGAUAAUGAUCAAAUUCAUGGUUCAAAGUCUAUAUUGACAAUGUAUGUUGACCUGAAAAUAUAUUUUAAUAAUGGAAGCAUUAUCAUGUAGUGCUGUUGUCGCUGAAUUAACUCUUUUAUUCUCUAGGUUGCCAUCAAUUUUCUUGUUAAUUUUAAAUGAAGCACUUAUGUUUUUCAGAGCCCAGUAUCAGAAAACACAUCAAGAUGUUGGCGCUAACCUUCCAUGCUGGGGCUAUGACCACUCUUGGGUGACAUCUUGUCCAAAGAUACUUCUUCACUUUUCAGGUCUGAGUCUCUCACGGAAUCGUCUGCAUGGCUCCCAGGGAGACUCUCAAACUUUGAUGAAAUUGCUGUGUUCCCUCCCCACUUCCUUCCAUCUCGACUCUGUAUCCCAGGGAUCAGGAAGCCAAGCAGACAGAGUUUUAUUCAGAAAGCCAUGGUCUACGAGAUCUUGAAACAUAAUCUGUGUUUUUGAACACAGAGAAACACUGUCCGGAUGCUUCAUUGUCUGAGGGGAUUGCCUGUUUCUUGGGAACUGAAAGUCAAAACGGUGUCCCAGGAGCCAUGGAAUCUAACCUGAAAAACCUAUGACACAUGCCUUUUAAGGUAGCUAAACAAGGCCAACUCCAUGAUUCCUCCUCAAUGAGAAGCAAUGAUUGGACUCAGUAU